rnacentral:rRNA from 1 species
GAUGAACGCUGGCGGCGUGCUUAACACAUGCAAGUCGAACGAAACACCUUAUUUGAUUUUCUUCGGAACUGAAGAUUUGGUGAUUGAGUGGCGGACGGGUGAGUAACGCGUGGGUAACCUGCCCUGUACAGGGGGAUAACAGUCAGAAAUGACUGCUAAUACCGCAUAAGACCACAGCACCGCAUGGUGCAGGGGUAAAAACUCCGGUGGUACAGGAUGGACCCGCGUCUGAUUAGCUGGUUGGUGAGGUAACGGCUCACCAAGGCGACGAUCAGUAGCCGGCUUGAGAGAGUGAACGGCCACAUUGGGAAUGAGACACGGCCCAAACUCCUACGGGAGGCAGCAGUGGGGAAUAUUGCACGAUGGGGGAAACCCUGAUGCAGCGACGCCGCGUGAGUGAAGAAGUAUUUCGGUAUGUAAAGCUCUAUCAGCAGGGAAGAAAAUGACGGUACCUGACGAAGAAGCCCCGGCUAACUACGUG